rnacentral:rRNA from 1 species
GAUGAACGCUGGCGGCGUGCCUAAUACAUGCAAGUCGAGCGAACAGACGAGGAGCUUGCUCCUCUGACGUUAGCGGCGGACGGGUGAGUAACACGUGGAUAACCUACCUAUAAGACUGGGAUAACUUCGGGAAACCGGAGCUAAUACCGGAUAAUAUAUUUAACCGCAUGGUUCAAUAGUGAAAGACGGUUUUGCUGUCACUUAUAGAUGGAUCCGCGCCGCAUUAGCUAGUUGGUAAGGUAACGGCUUACCAAGGCGACGAUGCGUAGCCGACCUGAGAGGGUGAUCGGCCACACUGGAACUGAGACACGGUCCAGACUCCUACGGGAGGCAGAAGUAGGGAAUCUUCAGCAAUGGGCGAAAGCCUGACGGAGCAACGCCGCGAGAAUGAUGAAGGUCUUCGGAUCGUAAAACUCUGUUAUGAGGGAAGAACAAAUGUGUAAGUAACUAUGCACGUCUUGACGGUACCUAAUCAGAAAGACACGGAUAACUACGUG